rnacentral:rRNA from 1 species
AUUGAACGCUGGCGGUAGGCUUAACACAUGCAAGUCGAGCGGAGCGAGGGUGCUUGCACCUUAGCUUAGCGGCGGACGGGUGAGUAAUGCUUAGGAAUCUGCUUAUUAGUGGGGGACAACAUUCCGAAAGGAAUGCUAAUACCGCAUACGCCCUACGGGGGAAAGCAGGGGAUCUUCGGACCUUGCGCUAAUAGAUGAGCCUAAGUCGGAUUAGCUAGUUGGUGGGGUAAAGGCCUACCAAGGCGACGAUCUGUAGCGGGUCUGAGAGGAUGAUCCGCCACACUGGGACUGAGACACGGCCCAGACUCCUACGGGAGGCAGCAGUGGGGAAUAUUGGACAAUGGGCGGAAGCCUGAUCCAGCCAUGCCGCGUGUGUGAAGAAGGCCUUUUGGUUGUAAAGCACUUUAAGCGAGGAGGAGGCUACUUAGAUUAAUACUCUGGGAUAGUGGACGUUACUCGCAGAAUAAGCACCGGCUAACUCUGUGCCAGCCGCCGCCGUAAGAC